rnacentral:rRNA from 1 species
CUAACUCUGUGCCANCNNCCGCGGUAAUACNGAGGAUGCAAGCGUUNUCCGGAAUCACUGGGCNUAAAGCGUCUGUAGGUUGCCUACCAAGUCUGCUGUUAAANAUCANGGCCUAACCCUGGGAAAGCAGUGGAAACUAGUAGGCUUGAGUGUGGUAGAGGUAGAGGGAAUUCCUGGUGUAGCGGUGAAAUG